rnacentral:lncRNA from 1 species
UAAGCCCACCUGCUGAGACAGGCAGCAAGUGGUCUGGUCUACCCUGACUUUUCCUGUUCUCCUAGCCUCUAUCUGGGAAACAUGGGGCCCAGGGCUUUCCUACCCUUCUCAUCUCUGAACUUCUCUGAGGUGUUUGUCAUACUCCCCUCUCACUUCAGACACUGCUUCCUUUUCUUAUCCCUCCUGCCAAAUGUCGGUCUAUAGUCUCUUUGCUUCCUCAACUCCCACCAGCCUGUGGAAUCUUCACGCAGUUGGGGAAAGAAGGGGCCUUUUGCUCUGGCCCGUCAUACACUCUUCCAAAUGCACCGUAAGCAUCUUGAGUUCUUGCCAUCUGCCCCACUGAGUCAGGCUGGGCUUUUCUGUGUCACCCCCUCCCCUGUGAUAACAGACACUGUAGGUCUGCUGUUGCGGUGGGGGGGUCGGGAUGGGGAGGUUAGUGUUUCUAGAAUAUGAUCCUACCCUGUUUACCUCACAGAGCAACAGAGUGGGGCCAUCUGUGCUGAUGAGUCAGGCAGUAAGUGAAGGCAUUUUCUCAUAGACACUCAACUUCCGUUUCCGGUUUUGCU